UGGCAGGACUCAGCUACCUGGGAUCAAGGCCUCAAAUUUCCCUCUGGAAAGGGGGAAAAUCUGGAAAGUGAGCCAAAAUUCAAGACUUUGCAAAUUACCCCAUCCUGAUCGCUCUAAAGCAGAGGAUAAUGACGGCAAAUGUGAGACCUCAGGGAUGCAGCCCAAAGCCAUUACCCCAAGAGAAAAAACGUCCUUGAUGGCUCCUAAUUUACAUUAAUAGUGCAUACAAAUUUGGUAUUGUAUUCCAAAUAUUUCUCUCUCUAACAUUUAAAUUU
rnacentral:lncRNA from 1 species